rnacentral:tRNA from 2 species
GGCUUGGUAGCUCAGUCGGUAGAGCAAGGGACUGAAAAUCCCUGUGUCGGCGGUUCAAUUCCACCCCAAGCCACCA